rnacentral:rRNA from 1 species
UACGUAGGGGGCAAGCGUUGUCCGGAUCUAUUGGGCGUAAAGAGCGUGUAGGCGGCCAGACAGGUCCGUUGUGAAAACUCGAGGCUCAACCUCGAGAUGUCGAUGGAAACCGUCUGGCUAGAGUCCGGAAGAGGAGUGUGGAAUUCCUGGUGUAGCGGUGAAAUGCGCAGAUAUCAGGAGGAACACCGGUGGCGAAGGCGGGUCUCUGGGCUGACACUGACGCUGAGGCGCGAAAGCUAGGGGAGCGAACGGG